UGCAGGAUGUCCUCUGAGGCAAUCGGUGCACGUUCUUCUGUCGCUUUUUGCCUUUGGGAAGUACAGUAAUGCCAUGGAAUCCAAGCUGUGAGGCCUCUAGCACAACUUCUAACUUCACUGCGUGACCACAAUUUUCUUCUGCAAAUACUGAAAAGCAAUUCUUUGCCCCUGCGUCACCAGCUGCGUGGAGAAGCACUUAAUACCUGUGCUGGAUGGAUGGAGGAUGAAAAUAUCCUAGAAAAGGAAUGCAGACUUCCAAAGGUCACGGGGGAUGAUGCAGUGGUAUCUGACAAGGCAAGAGAAGAAAUACUGCCCAGGAGCUUACGCAUGUGUGACUGCAGCAGAGGGUCCCUCCCUGAAGCGCUGAUGCCGGGACCCCAUGCUGGCUGUCCCGGGAGCCCUCCUCGGCUCCCUCCAGGGCUGCGGACGAGGAGCACACCAUGGCCAGCUCACCCCUCCUGCGCUGCGCCCGUGCUCAGCCUCGUCUCUUCCCCAUCCGGAUGGGUGCGCGAGCUGCAGGGGGCAGGGUCCGUGUGCAAUCUGAAAUAUAACAUCACUUGGUUUCCUUUUGUUUGUUUUUCAAACUGGUCAUACUUUUAUUCUUUAAGACACUUUCACCUUUGCUUUGAGACAUUUUUUCCCUAACAAUGUAAUUACUCAUAAAACACAGCAGACCUUUCCAUUCUGCAAACCUUUGCAGUUUUGUUCCACAAUGUCUUAGCUAGUUUUUGACAUAAAGCACUGAUUAAUAAAGAAACUUUGAUUGAAUGUUUUAUC